rnacentral:rRNA from 1 species
UACGUAGGGUGCAAGCGUUAAUCGGAAUUACUGGGCGUAAAGCGUGCGCAGGCGGCUUUGCAAGACAGAUGUGAAAUCCCCGGGCUCAACCCGGGAACUGCGUCCGAUACUGGAAGGCUUGAAUCCGGGAGAGGGAUGUGGAAUUCCAGGUGUAGCGGUGAAAUGCGUAGAUAUCUGGAGGAACACCGGUGGCGAAGGCGACAUCCUGGACCGGUAUUGACGCUGAGGCGCGAAAGCCAGGGGAGCAAACGGG